UACGAAGGGGGGCUAGCGUUGUUCGGAUUUACUGGGCGUAAAGCGCACGUAGGCGGAUCGUUAAGUGAGGGGUGAAAUCCCAGGGCUCAACCCUGGAACUGCCUUUCAUACUGGCGAUCUUGAGUCCGGAAGAGGUGAGUGGAACUCCUAGUGUAGAGGUGGAAUUCGUAGAUAUUAGGAAGAACACCAUGGCGAAGGCAGCUCGCUGGGACGUACUGACGCUGAGACGCGAAAGCGUGGGGAGCAAACAGG
rnacentral:rRNA from 1 species